AAAAUCAAUAUAAUGUUAA
rnacentral:snRNA from 1 species